rnacentral:lncRNA from 1 species
AAGUUUUCGAAGCAUUGCGUUUAUACUGAGCAUGCGCCGGCGUCCCCACAGCUGCCGGCGUGACGCUCACAUUGGAGCGGUGUAGGCAGAAGCUGGGUCUCCGUGGCGAGCAUUCCCAGUUUCCCUACCUGCUGGGGUCCUGAGGAUGAAGACUGGGAGAAGGAGCAGGCUCUCCGCCCUGCCCCUUCCGGGACGUGAGUGUGUGCGCUGACACUGUCAUGGAAAAAAAGAAAAUGCAGGUAGUGGUGGAAGAGGAGGAGGAAACUUUCCACGAUUCAGACUCCUACAUUUCUUAACAUUGUUAUAUGAAUUAAACUGUUAUACUCAAUCUUAGAGAUGAUAGAGGUUCGCCAACACUGAGCCGGAUUUGAGUCCUUCAUUG